AAAGCUGUUUUUCAUUGCAGAGAUUAUUUGGCAAGUUUUUUAUGGGGUGUAACACACAUACUCAACUCUGCUGCUCAUCCCACAAAUGCAUUUUCCUUACAAAGGCUGCACCGUUUAAAAG